CUUUUCUCCCAUUUCUUCCAUGAUAAGACCUUAGGGUCUUAUCAUUUGGAAUUAGAGCAUUUUAUGAUAAGACUUUAGGGUCCUAUCAUUUGGUAUCAGAGUAGUAAGACCUUAAGUCUUACCAUUUGGCGUUCUCGCUGUAGUGUUGUCGUAGCUAUCAAAAACAAAAAAAGAAAAAAAAAAGAAAAAAAUUUGUGUGAGGAAGGGUGAAGCCGGUAGCCAUGAACGCCGAUCCUUCUCAACUGAGAAGGAACCUCUGUGUCCCGACCAACAACCACCGUUGCCUCUUCUUCACCGCCGUCGCUACUACCUAGCCAAUAGCCACCACUACCGCCGUUGGCCCCUCGCUGCAGUUAUCUUCAACUUCAAAAAAAAAAA
rnacentral:lncRNA from 1 species